AUUGAACGCUGGCGGCAGGCCUAACACAUGCAAGUCGAGCGGAUGAAGGGAGCUUGCUCCUGGAUUCAGCGGCGGACGGGUGAGUAAUGCCUAGGAAUCUGCCUGGUAGUGGGGGAUAACGUCCGGAAACGGGCGCUAAUACCGCAUACGUCCUGAGGGAGAAAGUGGGGGAUCUUCGGACCUCGCGCUAUCAGAUGAGCCUAGGUCGGAUUAGCUAGUUGGUGGGGUAAAGGCCUACCAAGGCGACGAUCCGUAACUGGUCUGAGAGGAUGAUCAGUCACACUGGAACUGAGACACGGUCCAGGCUCCUACGGGAGGCAGCAGUGGGGAAUAUUGGACAAUGGGCGAAAGCCUGAUCCAGCCAUGCCGCGUGUGUGAAGAAGGUCUUCGGAUUGUAAAGCACUUUAAGUUGGGAGGAAGGGCAGUAAGUUAAUACCUUGCUGUUUUGACGUUACCAACAGAAUAAGCACCGGCUAACUUCGUG
rnacentral:rRNA from 1 species